rnacentral:rRNA from 1 species
ACUCCUACGGGAGGCAGCAGUAGGGAAUCUUCCACAAUGGGCGCAAGCCUGAUGGAGCAACACCGCGUGAGUGAAGAAGGGUUUCGGCUCGUAAAGCUCUGUUGUUAAAGGAGAACACGUAUGAGAGUAACUGUUCAUACGUUGACGGUAUUUAACCAGAAAGUCACGGCUAACUACGUGCCAGCAGCCGCGGUAAUACGUAGGUGGCAAGCGUUAUCCGGAUUUAUUGGGCGUAAAGAGAGUGCAGGCGGUUUUCUAAGUCUGAUGUGAAAGCCUUCGGCUUAACCGGAGAAGUGCAUCGGAAACUGGAUAACUUGAGUGCAGAAGAGGGUAGUGGAACUCCAUGUGUAGCGGUGGAAUGCGUAGAUAUAUGGAAGAACACCAGUGGCGAAGGCGGCUACCUGGUCUGCAACUGACGCUGAGACUCGAAAGCAUGGGUAGCGAACAGGAUUAGAUACCCUGGUAGGAUAGCG